ACUAAAACCUGGUGAUGGAAAGAUAACAGAUAAGUUAACAUAUGAGAGAAUCAUGGGCACAAACAAAAAUAAUCAUGGCUUGGUAUUACUAGAUUUUCUUUGUUUCAUAACACAUAUUUUGAAUUUGUCUAGCCAAAUUACUUAAUAAAAGUGUGUGUGUGUGUGUGUGUGUGUGUAUAUAUAUAUAUAAACUUAAAAUAAGAUUUCUAAUCAAUGGUUUUCUUGAUUUGACAAGUAGAAAUCUCUGCCCAUCACCUGCCCCCAACAUUACAAAGCCACAAGAAGAGAACACCGAUCCUUCCAGAAUCCGGCGGCUGACUAUUUAGUGAGAUUUCUUAAGGUACCCAGUACUACACGAUUUUUCACUAAAGUUGGAUCUGCACAGCCUUUUCUGCUCUGUGAAACAACUGCACUGAACUUUACUGUUAGCGACUGGAUACAGCUGAUCCACUCAUAUCCUGCUACUGUUUUUCAUCUGCUGAAUGUUUUUGACUCAAGCACUGCUGUACUGUUGCAAAGUCAAAGGUACUGAAUUAACUUCACUGACACAGGACUCACAUUCACUGAUAUGUUCAGGACUUAAGUAUUAAACACCAUUUGAUCACAUCAUAUAAUUCUGAUGACAGAAAUCCAUAUAUUGUGCAUUCAUCGUUUAUUUAAAAAAUUAACCUAUAAUGUAAACGUGCUUGUUCGUUAAUAAAAAAAAUAGUUUGUUUGAAACAACUGUU